AUUGAACGCUGGCGGCAGGCCUAACACAUGCAAGUCGAGCGGAUGAAGGGAGCUUGCUCCUGGAUUCAGCGUCGGACGGGUGAGUAAUGCCUAGGAAUCUGCUUGGUAGUGGGGGAUAACGUCCGGAAACGGGCGCUAAUACCGCCUACGUCCUGCGGGAGCAAGUGGGGGAUCUUCGGACCUCACGCUAUCAGAUGAGCCUAGGUCGGAGUAGCUAGCUGGUGGGGUAAAGGCCUACCAAGGCGACGAUCCGUAACUGGUCUGAGUGGAUGAUUAGUCACACUGGAACUGGGACACGGUCCAGACGCCUACGGGAGGCAGCAGUGGGGAAUAGUGGACAAUGGGCGAAAGCCUGAUCCAGCGAGGCCGCGUGUGUGAAGAAGGUCUUCGGAGUGUAAAGCACUUUAAGUUGGGAGGAAGGGCAGUAAGUUAAUACCUUGCUGUUUUGACGGUACCAACAGAAUAAGCACCGGCUAACUUCGUG
rnacentral:rRNA from 1 species